AGCGGAGGAAAAGAAACCAACAGGGAUUGCCUCAGUAGCGGCGAGUGAAGCGGCAAGAGCUCAGAUUUGAAAUCGUGCUUUGCGGCACGAGUUGUAGAUUGCAGGUUGGHGUCUGUGUGGAMGGCGGUGUCCAAGUCCCUUGGAACAGGGCGCCCAGGAGGGUGAGAGCCCCGUGGGAUGCCGGCGGAAGCAGUGAGGCCCUUCUGACGAGUCGAGUUGUUUGGGAAUGCAGCUCCAAGCGGGUGGUAAAUUCCAUCUAAGGCUAAAUACUGGCGAGAGACCGAUAGCGAACAAGUACUGUGAAGGAAAGAUGAAAAGCACUUUGAAAAGAGAGUGAAACAGCACGUGAAAUUGUUGAAAGGGAAGGGUAUUGCGCCCGACAUGGGGAUUGCGCACCGCUGCCUCUCGUGGGCGGCGCUCUGGGCUUUCCCUGGGCCAGCAUCGGUUCUUGCUGCAGGAGAAGGGGUUCUGGAACGUGGCUCUUCGGAGUGUUAUAGCCAGGGCCAGAUGCUGCGUGCGGGGACCGAGGACUGCGGCCGUGUAGGUCACGG
rnacentral:rRNA from 1 species